GUCACAACAUCCUGUCAAAUCUGCUUCCUUUAUGGGCUAAUGGAUAUCGUUAUUCUUGAAAAUGAUUCAGUUAACAUAAUUAUUAAUUUGCUUUUUCCUUUUAUAAGUCUGUCACACACCUAUGUACUAUAUGUCUAUGAUGUAGCCAAAGAGUGUACACCAUAAAUGCCCAGAAGAGAUGGAACAAGUAAAGCCAGUCUCCAUGAAUAGACAAGCAGAAUGGAUCUGAGUUAUAGACUCUGAAACCAUUCUCCAUACCACAAGCAAAACAUCCUGAAAAGAUUAUAAUCAUUAUAACUGAGAAGGUGCUGACAAAGAGAAAAAAGAUUACUACAAUAAUGAUGACAGUAAAAUGAUUUCGGAAGUUGUCAUUCUGGGGCUGAAGUUUCAUCUCGCCGGCAUUUUCUGCAUCACUAAAUCUCUAACCUCCUGAGAGCUGACUGGUCGCCAGGCGAGCGCCAUGCAUGUGAGCUGUGUCACCCAUUUCACCGCAGCGCAGCUCUUGGGCCAUCAACAUUUGCAUACGUGGCCUUGACACUCAAACCCUGAGGGAACACCUAGGAAAAUCCACUUGUGCUCAUGUGCAAACCAACUUGUAGUACACACGCAGGUUUUUCCCAAGAAUCGGAGGAGGACAAUUUAACAUCUUUUCACAUUGCGCUAUUGACGAAAAGCUGAAAUGUGCUGCAUUUUGAGUGUGUGGUAUAUAAAGUAUUAUGUUCUAUUAAAAUCCAUUUGAUAUA